rnacentral:rRNA from 1 species
GACGAACGCUGGCGGCGUGCUUAACACAUGCAAGUCGAACGGAAAGGCCCUGCUUUUGUGGGGUGCUCGAGUGGCGAACGGGUGAGUAACACGUGAGUAACCUGCCCUUGACUUUGGGAUAACUUCAGGAAACUGCGGCUAAUACCGGAUAGGAGCUCCUGCUGCAUGGUGGGGGUUGGAAAGUUUCGGCGGUUGGGGAUGGACUCGCGGCUUAUCAGCUUGUUGGUGGGGUAGUGGCUUACCAAGGCUUUGACGGGUAGCCGGCCUGAGAGGGUGACCGGCCACAUUGGGACUGAGAGACGGCGCAGACUCCUACGGGAGGCAGCAGGGGGGAAUAUUGCACAAUGGGCGGAAGCCUGAUGCAGCAACGCCGCGUGCGGGAUGAAGGCCUUCGGGUUGUAAACCGCUUUCGCCUGUGACGAAGCGUGAGUGACGGUAAUGGGUAAAGAAGCACCGGCUAACUACGUG